GACGAACGCUGGCGGCGUGCCUAAUACAUGCAAGUCGAGCGGAUGAGAAAGGAGCUUGCUCCUUUCGAUUCAGCGGCGGACGGGUGAGUAACACGUGGGCAACCUGCCUGUAAGACUGGGAUAACUCCGGGAAACCGGGGCUAAUACCGGAUAACUCAUGAGACUGCAUAGUCUGAUGAUAAAAGAUGGUUUUGCUAUCACUUACAGAUGGGCCCGCGGCGCAUUAGCUAGUUGGUGAGGUAACGGCUCACCAAGGCAACGAUGCGUACCGACCUGAGAGGGUGAUCGGCCACACUGGGACUGAGACACGGCCCAGACUCCUACGGGAGGCAGCAGUAGGGAAUCUUCCGCAAUGGACGAAAGUCUGACGGAGCACGCCGCGUGAGCGAUGAAGGNCUUCGGGUCGUAAAGCUCUGUUGUUAGGGAAGAACAAGUAUGAGUUAACUGCUCUACCGUGACGGUACCUACGAGAAAGCCACGGCUAACUACGUGCCAGCAGCCCGGUAAUACGUAAGUGGCAAGCAUUGUCCGGAUUAUUGGGCGUAAAGCGCGCGCAAGGCGGUUCUUAAGUCUGAUGUGAAAGCCCCCGCUCACCGGGGAAGGUC
rnacentral:rRNA from 1 species